CGGGGUGAGUAACGCGUGGGUAACCUGCCUUAUACAGGGGGAUAACAGUCAGAAAUGGCUGCUAAUACCGCAUAAGCGCACAGAGCUGCAUGGCUCAGUGUGAAAAACUCCGGUGGUAUAAGAUGGACCCGCGUUGGAUUAGCUAGUUGGUGGGUAACGGCCCACCAAGGCGACGAUCCAUAGCCGGCCUGAGAGGGUGAACGGCCACAUUGGGACUGAGACACGGCCCAG
rnacentral:rRNA from 1 species